rnacentral:rRNA from 1 species
GACGAACGCUGGCGGCGUGCCUAAUACAUGCAAGUCGAACGAGAGCGCCCGGUGCUUGCACUGGUCAAUCUAGUGGCGAACGGGUGAGUAACACGUGGGUAACCUGCCCAUCAGAGGGGGAUAACAUCCGGAAACGGAUGCUAAAACCGCAUAGGUCUUCGAACCGCAUGGUUUGAAGAGGAAAAGAGGCGCAAGCUUCUGCUGAUGGGUUGACCCGCGGUGCAUUAGCUAGUUGGUGAGGUAACGGCUCACCAAGGCCGUGAUGCAUAGCCGACCUGAGAGGGUGAUCGGCCACAUUGGGACUGAGACACGGCCCAAACUCCUACGGGAGGCAGCAGUAGGGAAUCUUCCGCAAUGGACGCAAGUCUGACGGAGCAACGCCGCGUGAGUGAAGAAGGUUUUCGGAUCGUAAAACUCUGUUGUUAGAGAAGAACAAGUGCUAGAGUAACUGUUAGCGCCUUGACGGUAUCUAACCAGAAAGCCACGGCUAACUACGUG